GACCUCAAAUCAGGUAGGACUACCCGCUGAACUUAAGCAUAUCAAUAAGCGGAGGAAAAGAAACUAACAAGGAUUCCCCUAGUAACUGCGAGUGAAGCGGGAAAAGCUCAAAUUUAAAAUCUGACGGUCUUUUGGUCGUCCGAGUUGUAAUCUAGAGAARUGUUAUCCGCGUUGGACCGUGUACAAGUCUCCUGGAAUGGAGCGUCAUAGAGGGUGAGAAUCCCGUCUUUGACACGGACUACCAGUGCUUUGUGAUGCGCUCUCAAAGAGUCGAGUUGUUUGGGAAUGCAGCUCAAAAUGGGUGGUAAAUUCCAUCUAAAGCUAAAUAUUGGCGAGAGACCGAUAGCGAACAAGUACCGUGAGGGAAAGAUGAAAAGAACUUUGGAAAGAGAGUUAAACAGUACGUGAAAUUGCUGAAAGGGAAACGCUUGAAGUCAG
rnacentral:rRNA from 1 species